CGGGUGAGUAAUGUAUGGGGAUCUGCCUGAUGGCGGGGGAUAACUACUGGAAACGGUAGCUAAUACCGCAUAAUGUCUACGGACCAAAGCGGGGGACCUCCGGGCCUCGCGCCAUCAGAUGAACCCAUAUGGGAUUAGCUUGUAGGUGAGGUAACGGCUUACCUAGGCGACGAUCCCUAGCUGGUCUGAGAGGAUGAUCAGCCACACUGGGACUGAGACACGGCCCAG
rnacentral:rRNA from 1 species